CCCGCGUUUCCUGUGCCUUGAAGGAGCGGCCGGCCCGCCGAGGGCGCGAGCCGGGAGCGCCGCGGCGCGGGGACGCGCUGGCUGAGCGGCGGCGGCGGGGACGCUCUUCCCGGCGACGUCCGGGGGAGGCGCCGCGGCCCUCGGCGGCUGUCCCUCCGUGGACUACAUUUCCCAGAAAGCCCGUCAGGCCUCUCGCCGGGACUCGAGCGUUUGCCCUGGCCUGGCGGGACCGUUAGAUCGUGAGCAGUGAGGAGAUCCUAGAGCGAACCGUAGGGUUGCUGUUGAGGGCAGCCCGGGACCACCGGAAGGGUGAGGACGGAGGAGGCCUGUGGGAGCACCAGCACCAUGAAAUGGCUGGUCACCUACAUGUAUGUGGCAUCCUGCGCGUUCCCGUGGACUCCUCUGUCACCUCUGUGGGGGUGACUUGAGAACUCUCUCUCUGAGGGAUCACUGCUCUUCAGGGUUGUGUCCAUCCAGUUCUUUCAGAAGUGAGAACACCUGGACCCUGCUCAUGAAUCACAUAAAGAAGUGAUGUGGGAGAAGUUCAGCCACCUGCUUGCGGUGGGUAAGGACGACUACCCUGUGAAAUUCAGAGUCUUUCCUGGGGACACCUUUCUCCACUGAAAAUUAUUAAAUGGCGUCUUUUCCUUGAUCACAAGGAAACUGGUCUGAUUGCUGGGACAGUGUUGGGCCCGAAUCUCGAUACCCCACAAGACCACCACCAGGAGCUGAGUCCAUUGCAAACCACAUGAAGAUCUUUUUAUUACAAAUUACAAGCUGCAGCUUGAGCUCACACCUCCCACCUCCGAAGCGGUGAGAGCCGAGAGCCCUGUGCUCAGCAUGGCUUGAUCAUGUCCCAUAUCUUUUCUUGUGCACGGGCCUUAAACAAACUGUGAUCUCCUUAUUGGAACAAGGGAAAGAGUCCUGGCAGAGAGAGAUGCGGAACAGAAGUCCAGAUUCGUCAACCCCUUCUUACUUUCCGCCUGAUUCAGAUGACUUGAUCAAGUCUCAGAUUGCAAACAAAACAGACACAGAAGCACACAACAGACAAGACAGAUACAUACAACAGAAAAGACGGCUGGCCAGCUUACCUCCCGAAGCCCGUAAUCAGCGUGUGAAACCAAGAGACUGUCACUAAAGAGCGGUGUCUCAAUCAAGUCACACCUCCAACAUGCCCGGUUUUAUUCAGCCUGCAUUUCUUACUCUACACCAGAAAAAUGAACAAAAAAAAAAAAAAAAAAAGAAGAAGAAGAAGAAGAGAAACCGUAUGAAUGUAAGACGUAUGGGAAGACUUUUAAUCAGAACUUAGAGAUAAUUCAACACCAGGGUAUUGUUCUGGUGAAAAACCCUACGAAUGUUAGUGUGGGAAAGCCUUUCAUCGGGGCUGGCUUGUUACUCCAUCAGCAGGUUCAUAUUGGUUAAAAAAGAAAACUAAUGAAUGUAAGGAGCAUGGCAAGACUUUAGUUGUAGUUCAUAUUUUUACCAACACCAAAGUUCACACUGGUGAGAAACCCUCUGAAUGUAAGGAAUGUGGAAAAGCCCUUGAUUACUGCUCAAACCUUAAUGACCAUCAGAGGAUUCAUAUGGGUGAGAAACUGUGGCUGUAAAGUCUGUGGAAAAGCCUUCACUAAAAGUUCACAACCUUUUCCACAUCUGAGAAUUCAUGGGCCUUAUUCAGCACCACAGCUGCACACUGUGAGAAACCCUCUAAAUGUAAGGAGUGUGGAAAAGUCUUCAGUAGUGCCUCAGCACUCGCUAAUCAUCAUCACUCAUUCCACCAAGAAAUGUGAAUGGAGAGAAUGUGGAAAGACCUUUUAGAGCUCAGCACUCAACAUCAGAGAAGCUGCACAGAUGAAAGACCAAUGAAUGCAGUGAAUGUGGGAAGGCCUUAAUAAAGGUUCAAAUUUCACUCAACGUCAGGGAGUUCACACUGCUGAGAAACCUUAUUAUUGUGAGGAGUGUGAAAAAGCCUUUGGUAGUUGUUCAGACCUCAUUCAUCAUGAGGGAAUUCACGUGAGGUGAACAGGAAGUAAGACACCUGUUAGCCUUUAAUAUUUUUCAGGUAAGGAAAGCAGUCUAGGAAAUGCAGGUCUUCUGUGCCUACUGUAACAAAGAACAAAGUAACAAAGUUUGGUUUCCUGAGAAAACAGAAUUUUUUAUUUGUUUGUUUCUCUAUGUAGCCCCAGCUAUCCUAGAACUCACUGGGUAGACCAGACUGACCUUGAACUCUCAGAGAUCUAACUGCCUUUACCUCCUGAGAGCUGGGCUUGAAGGUGUGUGCCACCAUUGCCUAGCAAAAACAACAGAAAUUUAUAAUCACAUUUUUGGAGCCUGAAAUCCCAAGAAGGUGCUGGCAAGGGUAGCUCCUUCCGAGAAGUCGGCAAAUAUUUUCUGUGCUGCUUCUAUUAGAAGGCAGGAGGUUUUGGGGCCCUCAGAUAAGCACCAGGGAAAUCCGUAAUUUUAAACAUGGAGGCUUGUCUCUCCAACAGGGGAUAGGUUUACUGGUCUCCACCUGGAAAGCUGAAAAUGGUUGUAAUUUUAACUUGUUGAUCCUUGUUACCUGCAGGGUCAGGCCUCACCAGAACCCCCCAGACGAGCGUGUUUGGUCAUCCCAAACUCUUCCUCCCUAGAUCUUGAGCAUUGUGUCAAAAAAACCCUGUCCUCGUGGGGGAUGCCCCCGAUACAACAGCCUAGGUAACUUCCUUGUCAUCUGUAGGGCCAGGGAGACUGUUAUUCUCCCUAGACCCUUGUCUUGAGCAGUGUUUCUAAGUAAACAAAACCCAUCUUCAUGGACUUUGUACAGUUUCGAUGUAAACAUGUCUGAAGCUUUGUUAGACACACAAAUUGUCCAGUGUCAGACUAGAAGUUUGAACCAGCACCGGCUUCUGCAUCCUGUUGAGCCAGAUUUUCUUCUUGCCUCAUGCGGAUCAUUACUCCGCCUGGUGUUUGCAGAGUCCCACACUGUUCGUUUCUGUAACAGUCAUCAUUUUGUAGACACACCAUUCCAGUCUCUGCCUUUAUCUCUGCAUUACAUUCCUUCUGAGUAUCUUCUUUCAUGCGGAUUACCAUCACACUGGAUUAGGGGCUCUUAACUUUAUCUGAAAAAACAAAAAACAAAACAAAACAAAAUUUUAUUUCCAUGACAAAUCAUACCAGGAGUUAAGGUUUUAUCAUAUCUUUUUGGGAAGCGCACUGAGGCUAAGGAGAGUAACACAGUUCAAAACUAUAAUAUCCUAUCAAUACUAUUUUAUUUAAUGUAUUUAUAAUUUUCUCCUAUAUACAACUUAAUUAAAUGUAUUUUAAAACUCUAUCCUUCCCCAAGAAGGAAAGAUUUUUAUCCCAAAACUACAUAAAUUACCCUCAAUUUCAAUGCCUUUUUCUCUUUUUUUUACUUUAAAAACAUCUUUUUUAAAGUUUUUUAAAAUUCAACUUUUUUUAUGUGUAUGUGUGUGUCCUAUAACCAUUUGUGCCACAUGUGUGCAGGUAUGCAUAGAGGCCAAAAGAGUGUGUCAGAUUGCCCUGGGACUGGAGUUACCAGUGGUUUGGAGUGUUCUGACGUGGGUGCAAGAACUCUUAACCACUGAGAUAUGGUUGGGCUCCUGUUUUUCUUCCUGUACCAAGCUCCUGGAGCAAUGACUCAUGAGACUCAAAAUACUUUACGAAUACCUAGGUCAUACAGCUAGGCUCUUCUCUGACUAACUCAUAACUUAAAAUAACCCAUUCUAAUCUACAUUCUGCCACGUGGCUGGUCAUCUGUGCUCAGAUACCAUGCAUCUGUUCUCUUACAUGUGUUCCUGGGUGAAUCUCCCACACCUGGCACUAUCCCAGAAUCCUUUCUGCCUAUCAGAUGUCCCACUUCCUAUUUUUUGCCUCAGCCAUGGGCCAUUAGCCUUUUAUUGACAGGUGAUGCUCCCAUACAGACACAAGAGAUUCCUUCUACAGAGAGAUAUCUCUCCAGGCCCUUAAAAAUUAUAUUCCGAUGUGUAAGUAACAUUUUCUUUCUAUAAAAUAUUAACAGGUAGUACUCAUUGCAAUUUACAGUAUACUCAAUAAAAUUCUUCUUCCUAAAGAAAAAAGUAUUAUCAAUAGCUUUCCAACCCUCACUAUAAUCCUUGCUAUCAGUGUGUUUCAUUACAGACUCCUAUUACUAUAAUUGCAUACAUAAACACACAGAGAAAAGGAACUUUUAUUUUCCUGAGGUAAUUGUCUUGGAGGCUUAUUGCCUCUGUCUACUAACCCAGGCCUAGUCCUGGAUGCUUCUAGCACCAUAAAAUCUAACCUAGCCCUAGAAUGUUUCACCCUCUGAGACUUACUGCUGAAUAAGCUCACCCUUUCUUGUUCUUACUGAGCUCUUAGCUAGCCGGUUCAACUCAGCUGUUCUGACUCAAACUCUUCUCCCUGCUAACUUAUUCAAUCUGGAUUUUCUCUCACCACUGAAUUGUUUUACUUGGCCUCCAACUAAUUCAAGCAAUCUUUUCUAAUCUUGCGGCUUCCCGUUCUCUGGCUCAUUUCUGAGCUGUCUUCACCUGAGAUUACUGUCCCAGUAAAACUGCCCUUCUCCCUCUGCAUUGCCCCAUAAAUAGCCUCCCUUUCCUCUCUCUUCUCAUGAGAGUUGGGUGUGUCCUAUCCUGUCAAAUCUUCUCUUGAUUUGUCGCCUUUUCUGCCAGUCAAUUAGACAUCACUUCAAACAUGCGUGCUUCCUCUUACAAACUAACUACUUUCAUUGUUUGGGACUAAAGGCAUGUACCACCACACCAGGACCCAUGCUUUUCUUUACCUGAAACUUCCUCUAUGCCAGGCUGGCCUUGAGCUCGGAUCUGCUUGCCUCCUGGAUUAAAGGUCAGUUUGUAUUCCAGCUAAAUCACACAGACCUAGAAGAUCUUUGGAUAUUAUCUCUUGCCAGCUGGAUUACACAGAUUUAGGCCUUUGGAUGUGAUCUCUUGCCAGAACAGCCAAGUUCUGAAUUAAAAUUCCUACACACACACACACACACACACACACACACACACACACACACACGGCUGUUUUACAUAUGUAUAUAAAUAUACAAUGUGCAUUGAAAGGAUUAAAUGAUCUAAGAAAUGUAAAAUCUUGGGAUAGUUUCUAACAUAUUAGUAUCUACAUGGAUAUACUCUGAUACUAAUAUCUUUUUGUCUUACUUUGUUUUUAAGAUAUUUUAUGUUUAUGAGAGCUUUGCCUGCAUGUAUGUGUGUGCACCGUUGUGCAUGCCUGGUGCCCUUAGGGGUAAAGCAAAGGUGUAACAUCCUCUGGUGGAGUUAAGGAUGUAUAUGAGCUAUGUGGGUGUUGGGAGCUGAACCCAGGUCCUCCACAGAAGCAGCAGGUGUUCGUCACUGCUGAGCCAUCCCUCCAGCCCAAUAAUAGUGUCUCAUCACUGUUAGUGGAAAAGAUUUUAACAAUAUUGAAACCCAUAGUUGACAGCAGAGUUCAUGGCAAAGGCCAGUGAAUGUGCUUUUAUAAAUGUUUCUCACUGUGGAAAUGUAGCUGGUCUUUGCUACUUUGUGGGUUCUUCUUCUUCCCACCAUUUGUUGCCCUGGUUUCACCCCCUAACACUAGAUAGGAGAGAAAGAAUAGAAGGGGAAAGAGAGAAAUUCAUGAAUCUAAUUUCUUUCCCAACCAUUCCUCCCAGUUUCCAGCCUAGCCCCUUCAAACGUUUCUCCCAACCUUUCCUCCCUCAGUCCCCAGCAAGCUGCUUAAACAGCGCGUCCUCCCAAUUUUCUCAGUACUCUCAUCUCCAAACUCUAACAACUAUUCUAGCCUAUCGUUAAGAUAUGUUAUAAUUUAGGGGACCUUUUCCAAUCAUCUCUUCUAACUCCCAGAUAAAUGACGCGAGACCUAUUAGGUUUAUAAGUAAGGUUCAGGCUCUGUAACUGGGCAGAUAUGAUCUACUCUAACCCUCCAUGCUAGUCUGACUACUUCCCAGCUAUAUGUCCCAAAUUACUUGCCAUAUCUUUCCUGUCUAGGCUGUGUCUGCUCCAUCAACACAUCCUUUCUCUACCUCUUCUCCUUCUCCUCCUCCCUCGUGGUCUCUACCCUGAGACCCCUCACUGGAUCGGAAGUCCAGCCUUUCUAUCUCUCCUGCAUGGUAAAUGGCUGUUUAGCCUCUUUAUAAACCAACCGUAGAUAUUUGGGGAGCAAAUUUUACACAACAUUGAUCAGUGUACAUGGUAGUGUCCAGGUCUGGACUAUAGCCAUAUCUCGGGCCCAGAAUUCAGCUUCUAAACACACACACACCAGACCAUCCCCCAGCAGCCUGUCUGCUCAGGUCUGCUGCUCCUGGCUCAACUGCCUUCUCUCAUUCUACUAGCCCAAUCCUGCACCAACUGUACCUUUGAUAUAGGGAAACAGUAACAGCUGCGCAAUCCUGUUACCUGUGUUCAAUUGCGUAUCUUCUUUUUAUAUAAGCCAUUAUUUUAAUUUCUCCUUAGAAAUCUUCAUGCACAAUGAAUCCUUGAGAAGUCAAACUGCUCCUUCUCAAGACCAUUCCUACUGUCCAUGAGAGCAAAGGACGGACCAUAAGCUUCAACAGUUAUUUUAUAACAUUGAAUUUGAGGGGCAGUGUAAGAUGUUUAUGUCCAGUCUGGAGCAGCACUACCUACUGUAGUGUGUGUUAGAACUGGAACGCCUGGCUGAGGUUUUUUGGCCUGCUUGUUAUUUCCUGGCUGACAAGAGGCAAGCGGAUUGUGCUUUUAGCUGUGGGGCCUUGAGCUGGGCUUCCUUUCUUAUUUCCUGAUGGCAAGAAACUGCCUUGGAUAUCUCUCUUGUUCCGGCACUCACUGGCCCAGUGGCAACCCUUGCCACAUCCCUACACAUCCUUGGAAUUCUAGGCCUUCUUUCUGAUUUAUAUCUAGAAAAACAUUGCCCCUAGAGAUGCCUUGUUCACAAUUUUGUUUCAAAUGACCAUAUUUCUCACACUUACAGCACCGAACUCUUUGAGAUCUGAGACCUUCGGUGGCUUGGUCACAAUCUCUUUGCGAAAGACUGUAAUUCGGCAAUUGAAAGCCAGGCGUUUUAAUAUGAGAGACCUCUAGCUAUAGUUUAACCUAUGAUAUCAUCAUGGUAUACAUUAGAACCAAUAUCGGUUAUCUCCCCUUCGCUUUCAUGCAUGGGUGCUGCCCAGGCCUGUAAUAGUUUAACAGCUUCUUUACAUUCAGGAUUUGCACUUUCAAAUGCCUUGCAUCAGGGUCCAAUAUGACAUUGUUCACUGCUGCAACCAAGUUUUGCAAAACAAAACAAAAAACAAAACACAAAAAAAUCCAUGAAGUCUUCUGCAGAGCCCUGUAUAACUUUAUAAAUGAUGUGAACUCCUUUCCUAGAUCUUCAGCUUUGUCCCAGACUCUUAGAGCUGCUAAACAACGCUGUUCUUUGGUUGCAUCUUCUUGAACCUGUUCUUGUAUAUCCGCAUACCAACCUUCACCUAUCAACUGGUCUCUCACUAUAUUAAUUCCCCUUGUUCUAUUGUGCCGUGCCAAAUUUCUGGUUUCUUCUCUCCACCAUGACAGUCAUUGCAGUCGGGGACCGGCUUCUCGUGAAGCUGCUACCAAUCCCCUCCAGUCUUGGGGAACACUUCUAUUUUGAGUAGCCCGGUUAUUUAGACUUUGUUUCACGAGGGUGAGUACACCCCAUAAGACAUUGCCUCUUUAAAAUGCCUUCGGUCUGUCAUUUCUGUAGGGCACCAAGCUAUUUCGUCAUAACCUUGUAGGGUUAUUUCCGUUAAGUGUUGUAACCUGCUUAAAUGCUAUAGCCCUGCUGUUCAGACCUACUUUAUUAGCUUAAACUAUGGCUCCUCUGGUAAUACCUGCUGUAGCCUUUAGCAUUUCAGAAGCCAUUUUGCCUCCAAGUCUCCAUUUUGAUUAUGUCUCUAUGGUUUCAUUUCUCAAACUUUGUUUACUUAGUUACCUGGGCACUCAAUGAAGUCCCCCAACUGCAGAACCAAUCAAAUUAAAGGUCAGUUAGAAACGCUUUGUCUAGCUGGUCAAAAUUAUAUAAUGUUGCUUCCUACCCCUGGAUACUUGGUUGCAUUUCAUUUUUGUACCUGGUUGUUACCUGGUUGCAUUUGUUUCCUACACCUGGUUACAGUUUUGUUACCUGGUUGCUACUGGUUAGUCUUUUUGUUAAAAAACAAAACAAAAAAAAAAAAAAAAAAAACAAAAAACCCUGCCUUAGGAGCAGACCAACGUGAUGCUCUGGCUCCCGAGUCCAGAUUCCUGCCCUGGCAAGUCAGUUCUCCUUUAGCGUUCAGUACCUCUGAGCUCAGCCUGGCGUCUGAGUGGCCAGUGAACGGCUGUCCCGAACCUGUAACGUUAGCAGGCGUAUGUUGGUGUCCUGGGAAUGCUGAUGAUUCUGUGACCCAGAAUUGCCUGUCCCCAAAAGUGCUGUGGUUCUACCCCGCUUCAUCUGACCAUCCUCCUGCUUUCUUCAUUUCUUUGAGUUGACUGCCCUUUGACGCAGUUCCUUCCCGUCUUGCUACAUGGGGAAAACUCCCUCUCUGGUUCAGUCACUGGCAAUUAACCUAUUUGUUCUUCCUUUUUUUUUUUUUUUUUUUUUUUUUUUUUUUUUUUUUUUU